CGGGGCGUAGCGCAGUCUGGCUAGCGCGCCUGGUUUGGGACCAGGAGGUCGAGAGUUCGAAUCUCUCCGCCCCGA
rnacentral:tRNA from 2 species